UCCCCCCACACCCACUUUAACCCCAGCUACAGUGAAGGUGAGGGAGGGGACCUCAGUGAGUUUGAUUUGCUCUGCUGCAGCCCCAUGUCCAUCUCUCCCCCCAACUCUGACAUGGAUCCCCAGACUGGGUCAAAGUGAGGAGGGACUACGGGAGAAUCAGGAUAAAACUAAAGUCACGACCUCUACUCUGACCUUCACUGCUUCAUACCUCUAUCAUGAACAGAAUAUAUCCUGCACUGCUCUCUACAAACAACAAGAUGGCAAGAAUGUCAAAUCACCUGAAACUAGUCUGACCGUUACUGUUCUAUUUUCUCCCAAGAACACCUCAGUGUCAGUCAGUCCCUCUGGUCCAGUGGUAGAGGGCAGCUCCAUGACUCUGAACUGCAGCAGCAAUGCCAACCCUGCAGUGAGCUACACCUGGUACAGAGUCAAUGGAGUUCAGGUGACAACAGUGGGGUCUAGCAGAAUGCUAACUAUCAAGGUGUCUGCAGACAGCAGUCAGUUCUACUGUGAGGCCAGAAAUGACCAUGGAACCCAGAACUCAUCUGUCAUUCAACUAGAUUUGCCAUAUCCUCCCAUGUACACCUCAGUAUCAGUCCGUCCCUCUGGUCCAGUGGUAGAGGGCAGCUCUGUGACUCUGACUUGCAGCAGCAAUGCCAACCCAGCAGUGAAUAACUACACCUGGUACAGAGUCAAUGGAGAUCAGGUGAUAUCAAUAGGACAUGGAGAGAAACAUCAGACCCAGGUGUACACAGAUCAAAGAAAGUUCUACUGUGAGGCCAGAAAUGUCCAUGGAACCCAUAACUCAUCAGUCUUUGAACUGGAUGUAAUGUACUCCCCAAAAAACACCUCAGUGUCAGUCAGUCCCUCUGGUCCAGCGAUAGAGGGCAGGUCUGUGACUCUGAACUGCAGCAGCAAUGCCAACCCAGCAGUGAAGACCUACACCUGGUACAGUCAAUGGGAGUGAGGGAGUCAUUGUACGAUCUGGACAGAGCUUCACUUUCAAUAAGAUUGCUAUCAAUGAUAGUGGGCGGUACUAUUGCGAAGCAGAGAAUAAGCAUGGGGUGGACAACUCAACAACUACUAACAUAGAUGUGACAUUUGCUCCAAAGAUCCUGCCCUCCUCUCGCUGCAUCAGAACUGCAGAUAAGAUCAACUGUUCCUGUGAGAGUCAUGGGAACCCCUCUCCCAAAGUGGAGUGGCGAUUGGCUGGACAGCCUGUCAAUCACGUAAGUAACACUGUCAUCAGGGAGCCAAUGGGCAGCACAGGCCUGAGAAGCUCCAUCACCAUCCACCAAUCACAGGAGGAGAACACACCCACUCUGGUCUGCCUCAGCACCAACUCUGUAGGAUCUUCCAGCCUCCAGUUCUGUACUCAAUGCCUGGGGAAUCACCAGGGGCUGGGCAUAAACUCUGAAGUUCUUGAG